UCAGGAUGAACGCUGGCGGCGUGCCUAAUACAUGCAAGUCGAGCGAACAGAUAAGGAGCUUGCUCCUUUGACGUUAGCGGCGGACGGGUGAGUAACACGUGGAUAACCUACCUAUAAGACUGGGAUAACUUCGGGAAACCGGAGCUAAUACCGGAUAACAUAUUGAACCGCAUGGUUCAAUAGUGAAAGGCGGCUUUGCUGUCACUUAUAGAUGGAUCCGCGCCGUAUUAGCUAGUUGGUAAGGUAACGGCUUACCAAGGCAACGAUACGUAGCCGACCUGAGAGGGUGAUCGGCCACACUGGAACUGAGACACGGUCCAGACUCCUACGGGAGGCAGCAGUAGGGAAUCUUCCGCAAUGGGCGAAAGCCUGACGGAGCAACGCCGCGUGAGUGAUGAAGGUCUUCGGAUCGUAAAACUCUGUUAUCAGGGAAGAACAAAUGUGUAAGUAACUGUGCACAUCUUGACGGUACCUGAUCAGAAAGCCACGGCUAACUACGUGCCAGCAGCCGCGGUAAUACGUAGGUGGCAAGCGUUAUCCGGAAUUAUUGGGCGUAAAGCGCGCGUAGGCGGUUUUUUAAGUCUGAUGUGAAAGCCCACGGCUCAACCGUGGAGGGUCAUUGGAAACUGGAAAACUUGAGUGCAGAAGAGGAAAGUGGAAUUCCAUGUGUAGCGGUGAAAUGCGCAGAGAUAUGGAGGAACACCAGUGGCGAAGGCGACUUUCUGGUCUGUAA
rnacentral:rRNA from 1 species